rnacentral:rRNA from 1 species
AUUGAACGCUGGCGGCAUGCUUUACACAUGCAAGUCGAGCGGUAACAGGCCUUCGGGUGCUGCCGAGUGGCGAACGGGUGCGUAAUGCAUCGGAACGUACCCAGAGGUGGGGGUUAACGCAGCGAAAGCUGUGCUAAUACCGCAUGUGAUCUGAGGCUGCAAGCGGGGGACCGCGCAGCAAUGUUUGGCCUCGCGCCUUUGGAGCGGCCGAUGUCGGAUUAGCUAGUUGGCGGGGUAAAGGCCUACCAAGGCGACGAUCCGUAGCUGGUCUGAGAGGACGACCAGCCACACUGGGACUGAGACACGGCCCAGACUCCUACGGGAGGCAGCAGUGGGGAAUAUUGGACAAUGGGCGCAAGCCUGAUCCAGCAAUGCCGCGUGCGGGAAGAAGGCCUUCGGGUUGUAAACCGCUUUUGGCAGGAACGAAACGGUGUCCGCUAAUACCGGGCGCUAAUGACGGUACCUGCAGAAUAAGCACCGGCUAACUACGUG